rnacentral:rRNA from 1 species
AAUGAACGCUGGCGGCGCGCCUAAUACAUGCAAGUCGAGCGAGAAGACGUAGCAAUACGUUUGUAAAGCGGCGAACGGGUGAGGAAUACAUGGGUAACCUACCCUCGAGUGGGGAAUAACUAGCCGAAAGGUUAGCUAAUACCGCGUACGCUUCUUGGACUUCGGUUCAGGGAGGAAAGCGAUGCCGAGGGUAUCGCGCUCUUGGAUGGGCUCAUGUCCUAUCAGCUUGUUGGGAGGUAACGGCUCACCAAGGCUUCGACGGGUAGCUGGUCUGAGAGGACGAUCAGCCACACUGGCACUGCGACACGGGCCAGACUCCUACGGGAGGCAGCAGUAAGGAAUAUUGCGCAAUGGGCGAAAGCCUGACGCAGCGACGCCGCGUGGGGGAUGAAGGUCUUCGGAUUGUAAACCCCUUUCGGGAGGGAAGAUGGAAUGGGGUAACCCAUUCGGACGGUACCUCCAGAGCAGCCACGGCUAACUUCGUGCCAGCAG